UUCAAACAGAAUUCCGCGAGGCCUUCCUCUCGAGGCAGCUGCGCGGCCAGCCACAGGGAGUUAUUGUUACACGUACAAAUGGCUGUGUUGUGACAUGUAACGACGGGGAAUAAUUCAAUGCAGAAGGUUGAGUAGCGCCACUAGAAGUACGCCGUGCAACAGUAACAUGAAAAAGGAGGCGGGGCUCGUGUGUACGCAGUCUCUUGCAUACGCUAUAGGAGAAUGCAUGUGAGAAAAGGCACUUGGCAAAUGGUAGUCGAGGAAAAAAGCGAGAGUGUAAGCUGCGAUACAAGUUCAGUGGCAGUGCACGGCUCCUGAUGGCUGGGAACUGGCUGGGCCACCAUCUGGCGAAAUUUGACAGCUUCCGUGUUUGUCGGCUCCGCCAGCUUCCCCUGCCGUGCAUAUACCUCUGCUGCCCUGCAGACUGAAACC